UAAGGAAUAUUGGUCAAUGGGCGGAAGCCUGAACCAGCCAUGCCGCGUGCAGGAAGACGGCCUUAUGGGUUGUAAACUGCUUUUGUCAGGGAAUAAACCCUCGUUCGUGAACGAGGCUGAAGGUACCUGAAGAAUAAGCAUCGGCUAACUCCGUGCCAGCAGCCGCGGUAAUACGGAGGAUGCGAGCGUUAUCCGGAUUCAUUGGGUUUAAAGGGUGCGCAGGCGGGCGUAUAAGUCAGGGGUGAAAUGCCACGGCUCAACCGUGGAACUGCCUUUGAUACUGUAUGUCUUGAGUUUAGUUGAAGUGGGCGGAAUGUAGCAUGUAGCGGUGAAAUGCAUAGAGAUGCUACAGAACACCGAUAGCGAAGGCAGCUCACUAAGUUAAAACUGACGCUCAUGCACGAAAGCGUGGGGAUCAAACA
rnacentral:rRNA from 1 species